rnacentral:rRNA from 1 species
AACGAACGCUGGCGGCAGGCCUAACACAUGCAAGUCGAGCGCGCCUUUCGGGGUGAGCGGCGGACGGGUUAGUAACGCGUGGGAACGUACCCUUUUCUGCGGAAUAGCCUCUGGAAACGGAGAGUAAUACCGCAUACGCCCUUUGGGGGAAAGAUUUAUCGGAGAAGGAUCGGCCCGCGUUAGAUUAGAUAGUUGGUGGGGUAACGGCCUACCAAGUCUACGAUCUAUAGCUGGUUUUAGAGGAUGAUCAGCAACACUGGGACUGAGACACGGCCCAGACUCCUACGGGAGGCAGCAGUGGGGAAUCUUGGACAAUGGGCGCAAGCCUGAUCCAGCCAUGCCGCGUGAGUGAAGAAGGCCUUAGGGUCGUAAAGCUCUUUCGCCUGUGAUGAUAAUGACAGUAGCAGGUAAAGAAACCCCGGCUAACUCCGUGCCAGCAAGG